CACGUGGACUGUUACAUCAAACCGUAGUAGACACUCUUACAGUUUCGAGACGGGACAGGAAGAAACGUGAA
rnacentral:sRNA from 12 species